CCCCCGCCGCUGCCCGAGGCAGCCGUGCGCCGCCCCAGCCCGCGCAGCCCCGGCCGCGCCCGCCCCGUCCCAUCGCGCCCCUACUCGGCGCCGCUGUUCUCAGGUCGGCAGCCUCCGGGGCGCAGCGGGGAGGUGAGGAGGGUAGGGACCGCGGGCCGGCCAGCGCCCGGCGCCGGAGACGGGGAGCGCUGGGGAAAGCAGCGCCUUCCUUGCGCGCAGGGGACCCGGGAGCGCAGCGGGCGCGGGGCGCCGCGGGGCGCGGGGCGCGGGGCAGCGGGCGCGGGGCGGCGGCGGCCCCGGGCGGCUCUCCCACUAGGGGUAGCUGUUGCCUGAACGCCGGAGCGCUCCCCUCUCGCCGCUCGUCUCGCACGGCGCGGCCCCGGCCGCCGGGCGCACCCGUCCCGUGCGUCCCCGGACGUUGCUCUCUGCCCCGGGAACGUCGAGACUGGAGCGCCCGAGCUGAGCCACCUUCGCCGACCCCGAGCGCUGCGGCCCGACUCACCGCGGCGGCGCCCGGACGCGUAAAGUGCGUACUUGCAACUGGGGGAUGUGUGCUGAGGCUGUUAGGGAUGCGGGGCAACUCCCCAACUCCGGGGGGCCCUGGUGGGCCCUGCCGCCGCGUCCGAGACCUUCUUAGUCCUCGCAGCGCGCGGCCCGGGGUCGGCGACUUGGGCUUAGGGGCGGCGGGGCGGCGAGAUGCCUUGACCUGGGGUCCCCGAAGCCGGGAGCAAGUCUCGCUUCGGCCCUACUUGCCCUCCUGGGCGAGGCCUGAGUCCUGUCGGGAGCGAUUUGUACCCGUCUGGGGAGUCGAGCCGCCAGGGACGCCCUCGCAAUCGCGGGCACUUGUCCGGGGCGGCGGUGGCGGAGCCCAAGUCCAGCGCCACCGCCGCCAGCGUCCCGUGCGCCGCCAGCCCCGGCCGCCUAACUUCUUCCCGGGACGGAGACAGCGCUCGCGCCCCGGCCGCAGUGGGAGCUCGCUGGGCGGGAUAGGGCGAGGGCGAAUCGGUCCGGUGCGGUGGCGGCGACGAGGGAACAAGUCCGGAGAGGUCAACCUCAGGACAAGGAGCCCCCACCCAGGACCCAGCGCGACCCAGCGGGCGCCGGGGUAGAUGCCUCGCCUUGUGCUGGGGUCCUCACCUCCGGGUUUCACAGCCUGGCGGGACCCUCUGCUCGCACCUGCCCACGCUGCCUCCAGCCCGAGCUCAGGAGAGCCGCGCUUGUCCUUAGGGCCGCCAGCUGCUCUGGGGGAUCUGCUUCUGCUGUUUGGGCUGACAGCCUCCGCCCCACACCUCCGGAUUCCAGAACAUCGGUCAAGGUGCUCAGGACCAUCUGUGCAGAGUCGUGUUUGAAAAGCCACUCUCCUCUCAGGAUGCUGCCCUGCCAAGCAGCUGCCCACAGCUUCUGAGCCACAUCCAAACCGCUUGGCCUGGCCUUCGAGGCCGCCAGGUGGGGCCUCCGCCUCCUGCCCCUGCCCAACCCUGACCCCGCGCUCCAGCCAUGGGAACAUCCGCCACAACCCCAUCGAAUGCCAGGCCCUUCCACGGCCGCUGCCCCCCGCAGGCCUUCGAGGAGCUGUGGCCAUCAGCCUUUCAACGAGGGGUCAGCCGAGGCUUGGGGAAGCGGGCGCCUUGCUCCGCCGACUGUGUCAGGACUUGGACCUGGGUCUUCUGGCUGCAAAGCCAGGCUCUUCACACUGAACCAUAAUUUCUCCACACUUGCUCCAUUGGCUAGUCCACCACCUUUUCUGGAACUCUUUUCCAUCUCGGCUUCCCAAACUCUAGUUGUCCUUCAAGGCUUGGCCCAGAUGUUGCCUCCCCCAGGCAGCCUCCUCAGACUACUUGCCAGAUCACCUCUCUCCUCCCCUUGCAGUCUGCCAUUGCCUUGACCUUGGUUCACCAUAGUCCUGGGGGGGAGGGGAGAUUGUGUUCCAGUGGCAGAGAUUGCUAGUUGCCCCCAAUAUCCAUUAUCCUCUCUUCCUAAAGCAAAAGAAAUGUCAAAUUUGAGUUGGGCACAUGACUGUCCGUUCAAGUUCUUAGCCUCCUUUGCAGCUACAUGUAGCUGUUUGACUAAAUCCUUGCCAAUGACAUGUGACCUGUGAAACCUCUGGGUCCUGCCUCCAGAAGGAAGAGACAUGGCUUCCCCUUCUUCUUCUUUCUGUUUGCACUGCUGCAUGACAGAGGUGAUGGCAGGAGCUGGAGCAGCCAUAUUGACUAUGGGUAGGAGCUGGGUGUUGAGGAUCACAGAGGAACAAGGUAGAAAGAACCUGGGUCACCACCACAUUGGCCUAGACUGCUAAAGCUCAGACUGUUACAUGAGAGAGGGGAAAAAAUACCCUUUGAUCUCAUUUAAUUCAGUGUUAGUUUGGCAUUUGUUAUAGCAGCCAAACUGUAUCCUAAUUAGUACUGACUCAGACUGAGAAGUUGAUUAACUGUUUGCAGAAUGGCUAAGGGAUUACUAACCAGAAGCCAGUGAGCUUUUCAGAGCACAUGGCACUCUGGGGUCACGGAAGGGGUGUGUACAUGGGUUUCAGUGCUGGCCCACGUCAUAACUGUGG
rnacentral:lncRNA from 1 species